AUUGAACGCUGGCGGCAUGCCUUACACAUGCAAGUCGAACGGUAACAGGUUAAGCUGACGAGUGGCGAACGGGUGAGUAAUGUAUCGGAACGUGCCCAGUCGUGGGGGAUAACUACUCGAAAGAGUGGCUAAUACCGCAUACGACCUGAGGAUGAAAGCGGGGGGCCGUAAGGCCUCGCGCGAUUGGAGCGGCCGAUAUCAGAUUAGCUAGUUGGUGGGGUAAAAGCCCACCAAGGCGACGAUCUGUAGCUGGUCUGAGAGGACGACCAGCCACACUGGGACUGAGACACGGCCCAGACUCCUACGGGAGGCAGCAGUGGGGAAUUUUGGACAAUGGACGCAAGUCUGAUCCAGCCAUGCCGCGUGCGGGAAGAAGGCCUUCGGGUUGUAAACCGCUUUUGUCAGGGAAGAAACGAGUUUCUCUAAUACAGAGACUUAAUGACGGUACCUGAAGAAUAAGCACCGGCUAACUACGUGCCAGCCGCCGCAGUAACAC
rnacentral:rRNA from 1 species